rnacentral:rRNA from 1 species
AAAGUUUGAUCCUGGCUCAGGACGAACGCUGGCGGCGUGCCUAACACAUGCAAGUCAAGGGGAAAGUUUUGCUUCGGCGGAGCGAGUAUACUGGCGGACGGGUGAGUAACGCGUAGGCAACCUGCCCUUACGGAUGGGAUAACCCAGCGAAAGUUGGACUAAUACCGUAUAAAGCGACUGUAUUACCUGAUAUAGUUGUCAAAGGUUGCUUUUCGGAGCAAUCGCGUAAGGAUGGGCCUGCGUUCCAUUAGCUAGUUGGUGAGGUAACGGCUCACCAAGGCGACGAUGGAUAGCUGGUUUGAGAGAGUGAUCAGCCACACUGGGACUGAGAUACGGCCCAGACUCCUACGGGAGGCAGCAGUGAGGAAUAUUGCGCAAUGGAGGAAACUCUGACGCAGCAACGCCGCGUGGGGGAUGAAGUUCUAUGGAGUGUAAACCCCUGUAAGUAGGGACGAAAGUUAUAUAUUCGAAUAGGGUAUAUAUAUGACGGUACCUACAGAGUAAGCUCCGGCUAACUCCGUGCCAGCAGCCGCGGUAAUACGGGGGGAGCAAGCGUUGUCCGGAAUUACUGGGCGUAAAGGGCGUGUAGGCGGUUUAAUAAGUCAGAUGUAAAAGCCCCCGGCUUAACCGGGGAUUGUCAUUUGAAACUGUUAGGCUUGAGUGCGAGAGAGGGUAGUGGAAUUCCCAGUGUAGCGGUGAAAUGCGUAGAUAUUGGGAAGAACACCAGUAGCGAAGGCGGCUACCUGGCUCGCAACUGACGCUAAGGCGCGAAAGCGUGGGGAGCAAACAGGAUUAGAUACCCUGGUAGUCCACGCCGUAAACUAUGGAAGCUAGCCGUCAGUCAGCUUGCUGAGUGGUGGCGCAGCUAACGCAUUAAGCUUCCCGCCUGGGGAGUACGGUCGCAAGAUUAAAACUCAAAGGAAUUGACGG